UCGAUGUUUCUGCUCACCAACACUUUACCUUGAUUAUCAACGCGUUACCAUUUUGCAUCUUGUUCACAAAGGUUGAACUGUUAAAUUCAAGUCUUGCAUGUCAGUAAGUUAAACCCAACCGUGUCUCCGGCAGCUGCAGAUAUUAGUGGCAGGGGAUCACCGAUCGGCUUUUACCAGGCAAUUUAUGAAGAGAUUGAGGAUAUUCCUGCUGCCAACAAUUUCAGUCAGACACAUGAUUCAGACUCUGGUUCCAUUCAUUCCAUCAAUCAACUCGAAUAUUACACCAGCGACCCUCUGGAUGGUCCUCUUCUUGCACAAGAACAUCCCGAAGGAAACUCCUCGAGUGUUCACGACCUGAUUCCUGACGACUAUGACGAUGCCGAGAGUAAAACCAUCGCUUCUCCGGGCUGUCAGUUCCCAAUGAGCGCUGGCGACGAUGACCUUCUGAAAAUCACAGUUGCCGGCGAUGAUGUCGACA